rnacentral:rRNA from 1 species
GACGAACGCUGGCGGCGUGCUUAACACAUGCAAGUCGAACGAAGUGGCGAACGGGUGUGUAAUACGUGAGUAACCUGCCCUCCUUUUUGGGAUAAGCAUUGGAAACGGGGUCUAAUACCGAAAACAGGGGGCUGGGCGCGCGGCCUAUCAGCUUGGUGGUGGGGUGAUGGCCUCCCAAGGCGGUGACGGGUAGCCGGCCUGAGAGGGUUACAGGCCACAUUGGGACUGAGAGACGGCCCAGACUCCUACGGGAGGCAGAAGUGGGGGAUAUUGCACAAUGGGCGAAAGCCAGAGGCAGCGAAGCCGCGUGGGGGAUGAAGGCUUUAGGGUUGUAAACCGCUUUCGCGAGCGAACGGGUAGGUGGAGAAGAAGCGCCGGCUAACUACGUGCCAGCAGCCGCGGUAAUAC